rnacentral:rRNA from 1 species
CAGCAUAGAAGUAGCAAUACGUUUGGUGGCGACCGGCGCACGGGUGAGUAACGCGUAUGCAACCUACCUAUCAGAGGGGAAUAACCCGGCGAAAGUCGGACUAAUACCGCAUAAAACAGGGGCACCGCAUGGUGAUAUUUGUUAAAGAAAUUCGCUGAUAGAUGGGCAUGCGUUCCAUUAGGUAGUUGGUGAGGUAACGGCUCACCAAGCCGACGAUGGAUAGGGGAACUGAGAGGUUGGUCCCCCACACUGGUACUGAGACACGGACCAGACUCCUACGGGAGGCAGCAGUGAGGAAUAUUGGUCAAUGGGCGGGAGCCUGAACCAGCCAAGUCGCGUGAAAGGAAGAAGGAUCUAUGGUUCGUAAACUUCUUUUGCAGGGGAAUAAAGUGCAGGACGUGUCCUGUUUUGUAUGUACCCUGAGAAUAAGGAUCGGCUAACUCCGUGCCAGCAGCCGC